UACAGAGGGUGCGAGCGUUAAUCGGAAUUACUGGGCGUAAAGCGCACGUAGGUGGCGACGUAAGUCGGGUGUGAAAGCCCCGGGCUCAACCUGGGAAUUGCAUUCGAGACUGCAUUGCUGGAGUACGGGAAGAGGGAAAGGCGGAAUUCCCGGUGUAGCGGUGAAAUGCGUAGAUAUCGGGAGGAACAUCAGUGGCGAAGGCGGCCUUCUGGUCCAGUACUGACACUCAAGUGCGAAAGCGUGGGGAGCAA
rnacentral:rRNA from 1 species